GGGGAGGGGCCGGAGCGUCAUCCGCGUGAGCCGCGUCAUCCGCGUGAGCCGCGUCAUAAUGCCGACCAAUCAGAGCAGACUGGGCUUUUCAGGAGGGGGGUCUUAAAGAGACAGGCGCUAAAACCGAGCGAUUCAGACAGAGGUUGAAAAGAGGUGCUCAGCUAUAGGCAGUGUGAGAAAAAUAAUGUGUUUUUUGAAUUGUAGGAGAGCCACAAAAUACAAUUAUGAACCUGAAAAAGGGGCAUAAUAUGACUCCUUUAAGUACAAUCAACUUAUCCGGGUUUACAGUGUAAUCAGGAUUUGCUAGAUUUGAGUUUUGGCCUGUGAGAACCAAAGCUUACCUCUUUGCUCUCAAUGUAUUUUAUGUUAUCAGGAAACCACUGAUAUGACUAAUAAUUGUUUUUGUCCUUACAGAUCAGCGCAGAGUUUAUGCGACUGGUUUCAACUGAACUCCACGGGUCUUUCUUUGAUGGACUGGACAAAUAUGUCCCGAGUCUGCUCGAAAUGUACAGAUCGAAGUAGCACCAGUGCAGACCUGUAUACUCUGCUUCAGCCCCUUGACAUACAAACUUCAAAUCAGAAGAGAAGAGCAGUUGCUUUGCUUGGACUUCCAUACUACCUGAAGGAGGAUCCUUCAAGUUUCGUCUUUGUCUGCAAGCCUGGCAGUUCAGAAGAGGAGGUCACAAAAGGAGUGGGCUUCUGAUUCUGCAUUGCCUGAUGGUAGUAAUACCAAAAAGGCCACCCAGUUUUGAAAUUCAAUAAAAUGGCAUUCUGAAUAGUCUUUGAUGUUGAAGAAUAGUUUUUAUGUCGUACUAUAGAUUUAAGUUGUUUGGGAAAAAGAUGCAGUUAAAUUUUUAUUGAAUGAACUUAACAUUGCUACUUAGAUUAACUGUUCUUGGAAAAAGUAACCUGGCUGCCUUAAAAAAACAACAUGCUUAGUUUGAACAACUUUUUUUGUUAGGUUUGUACAACUCAAGAUAUCAUUUCAAGUUUGUUGGUUUUACUGGUCAUUUUAUGUUGUCUAAACUAGGAUUUAGGUUUGUAAAACUUGAAACAUCUUGUUGGUAUCACAAAAACUUAAAACAAACUUAAAAUCUAAAGUUGAUGGGACUAAUUUGACAGCUUCACCUUUGUCACCCCAACUAUUUAUUCUAAGUUUAAGAAACUCUGAUAUAUGUUAAAACAACUUAAGUUACUUAGUUGGCCAAACUCAACAAUUUAAGCCUUAAAUUGUUGUCCAACCUAAAAUUUUAGGCAGCCAGGUUACAUAUUAUUUUAAGUUGAACGUGCCAAUUUUCAGUACAUAACUAAUUACUUAUUAUUUAAAAAAAAAAAACUCUUUUUUUUUGCAUGAUCUGACUUUGAAAUUCGGAAAUGACACUGUUAGUAGGCGAUCAUAUGCUGUCUGAAAAUGGAUGUAAAACUUCCUGUCCGAAGGUUGUAAAUGAUGAUGUAAAUUAUAAUUUUUUUAUUCUC